AUGUCUGUGUUGAAUUAUCUGCUAGGUCAGUAGUUGUGUGUUGAUACGACUAUGCUAUAUGCUGUGGAUGUCUGUCUUUGCUUCAAGUUUACGCUCAAUUAUCUAUGUCAGUAACUGGCUGCCAUUUGUUACAAUGGAGAGAAUUCCCUGAGUAGUAGACAUAGUCAAUAAGAAGGAAAAUGAGAAGUGCCUCUCUUGGGUGACAUAAAACUCAUGUCUGGUUACCAGGAUAAACGAAUGUGCUGAUGGCUGUUGCUGCUUUGGUUUAGAGCCACAGAAGUAAAUGAGUCCUUGAGUGAAUAACUACAUGUCACCCUGAAUAGAGCAACCCUCAUGUACUUCAUCUGCAAAAAAUUCAGAAAACUGGAAACUGCAUAAUAGCAACCAGCAGGAUACUGAGCCAGUUCAAGACUUCGGCACCAGAAGACUUCUGUAGCCAUCUUCUAUGUACCCAAGUCUGUCUAUUCUGUUUCAUUCCCAAAUGUAUCUGCCUCAUAAAAAAUGCAGAGAUAAAAUGACAUAAAUGUGUAUAGAAAAAUAUCAUCUAGCAAAAUCAACAGAGGGGAAAAACAGUGUGUUGAAAAGAGAGUUCUACCACAACCAAACAAGACUCUAAAAAUAAAAAGAUACAGUAGUAAUAGCACUACAGUUUGACCAUCUGUUUAAUUUAGAGUCUUUGUGGGGCGGUACUGAGUAGAAGUUCAGGAACUACCUAAGUAGGAAGGAGACAAAGUACGCGGUUAUGCCACGGCACACUGAGCUGCCCCUCUGUAUUUUGAUAACAGGCAUUUCCCUUUCUGAUGCCAGUUUUAGUAUGUUUAAAAUUGUCCCUCCAAAAAUGCAAAUGUGAAAGCUCAAACCCAAAUAAGUUUCAAAAUGUAUAGUUCAGAAACAAGAGCUAGUUUCUACCACAAGUGGCAAAAUCAGUAUGAGGUAUCUCUUGAAGUAUUUGCCUCUAUUUCCUUCCUCUGCCACUUCUGCCUUAGUGGAAAGGAGGCUGCUUACACAGUGGCUGACACUGCGUGAAUACCUUCUUGCCUAUUCCUGUAAUCAUUCAGUGUUCAUCAUAGGAUUUUUAUUUUUAUAAAGCAGCUUGAUAUGUUUUGUGAUGGUAUUCCUGUUAACGUCAAAGAAAAGCAUUUGGCUGAGAAACACCAGCAACUCCUUUAAAAAAAUCCUCUAAUAACUGGGUUUUUAUUACCCUGAUCCUAAAGGUAACAUGACAAAAAAAGGAAACCAGAUUUCAGCCAGAGCUGCAUGGCAGUAACAGCUUAGAGAGGUAAUGGUACAAAGUGAAACACUGGAGUUCUCACACACACUCUUGCUGUGGAUUUGUUUUUUCCUUGCCUCCUUCAAGUGCUUGGGAAGAUUCUACAAACAGAUCUUCAGCACCAGACUCUUUACUCUAAAUUUCUGAUUUGACAUCACUAGAAAGCUCAAAUAGUGAACUACUUACGGGCUUUUAUUUUCUUUGGCCACCAAUAACAAUUACUCUACUACUAAACUUGCCUUUAAAUUGGGCUUCACAGAUACGACAUAAAAGGUCAGAGCAGGGAGAAGAGCAGUGGCCCCUUGGGCCUCUCUGCCCAGAGUUGCAGGGAGGGUCGGAGGUCCAUGGAGUCAUAAGUGGGAACAGAUCCAUCUUCUCAGCCUGGAUGCAAAAUUAAUUUGUGGGGGAAUACAGAAAAGGAGGGAAUUGUCUUGCUACUUCAUCUUCUCCUCACAGCUGGAGGAGGAGUAUGGCUUGGUCAGGAUGGUUGCCUGUGGUGCUGAUGGGGGAUGGAGAUCUUUCUUCAGCAUGGAUCAUUUAGGCUUUCCUAAGCUGAGAAUCACGUUGUCCAUCUCUCUCCAGCUUGUUGCUCUCCUCCCAUAAACUUUGCUUUGUUUAAAGGCAAUAGUUUAGUCUGUCACUUGUAAGUAGUGAAAUAUUGCUUUUUGAGCCUCACAUAUUGUGUAAUCCGGUUUUACAGUUCCUGGCAGUAUAUA